CUCCGAUUGCGAAGGCAGUACACUAAGCCGAUACUGACGUUGAGGCUCGAAAGUGUGGGUAUCAAACAGGAUUAGAUACCCUGGUAGUCCACACGGUAAACGAUGAAUACUCGCUGUUGGCGAUAUACAGUCAGCGGCCAAGCGAAAGCAUUAAGUAUUCCACCUGGGGAGUACGCCGGCAACGGUGAAACUCAAAGGAAUUGACGGGGGCCCGCACAAGCGGAGGAACAUGUGGUUUAAUUCGAUGAUACGCGAGGAACCUUACCCGGGCUUAAAUUGCACUGGACAGGCUCAGAGAUGGGCUCUUCUUCGGACCAGUGUGAAGGUGCUGCAUGGUUGUCGUCAGCUCGUGCCGUGAGGUGUCGGCUUAAGUGCCAUAACGAGCGCAACCCUUGCCAAUAGUUGCCAUCAGGUCAUGCUGGGAACUCUAUUGGGACUGCCAUCGUAAGAUGUGAGGAAGGUGGGGAUGACGUCAAAUCAGCACGGCCCUUACGUCCGGGGCUACACACGUGUUACAAUGGGAGGUACAGAAGGCUGCUACCCGGCGACGGGAUGCCAAUCCCCAAAACCUCUCUCAGUUCGGAUUGGAGUCUGCAACCCGAGUCCAUGAAGCUGGAUUCGCUAGUAAUCGCGCAUCAGCCACGGCGCGGGAAUA
rnacentral:rRNA from 1 species